rnacentral:rRNA from 1 species
UGAAUACGAGACGCUAAGGCGUCGAAGUAGUGUAUGUCAUACUUCCAAGAAAAGCUUGCACUGUCAUAGAUAAAAAACGCCUGUACCAUAACCGACACAGGUGGGUAGGUAGAGUAUACUAAGGGGCGCGAGAUAACUCUCUCUAAGGAACUCGGCAAAAUAACUCCGUAACUUCGGGAGAAGGAGUGCCUUAUUCGUAAGGUUGCAAUAACAAGAUCCAAGCAACUGUUUAUCAAAAACACAGGUCUCCGCUAAGUCGUAAGACGAUGUAUGGGGGCUGACGCCUGCCCAGUGCCAGAAGGUUAAAGAAGUUGGUUAGCAAUUGCGAAGCUGAUAACUGAAGCCCUGGUGAACGGCGGCCGUAACAAUAACGGUCCUAAGGUAGCGAAAUUCCUUGUCGGGUAAGUUCCGACCCGCACGAAAGGCGUAAUGAUUUGGAUACUGUCUCGGAGAGGGGCUCGGUGAAAUAGACUUGUCUGUGAAGAUGCGGACUACCUGCACCAGGACAGAAAGACCCUAUGAAGCUUUACUGUAACUUGAAAUUGAAAUUGGACUUUAUUCGCGCAGUAUAGGUGGGAGGCGUUGAUUAUAAUCUUGUGGGAUUAUUGGAGCCAUCAGUGAGAUACCACUCUUGUAAUGUUAGAUUUCUAACUUUGAAUCAUUAUCUGGUCAAAGAACAGUUUCAGGCGGGCAGUUUGACUGGGGCGGUCGCCUCCUAAACGGUAACGGAGGCGUACAAAGGUUUCCUCUGAACGGUUAGAAAUCGUAUCUAGAGUGUAAAGGCAUAAGGAAGCUUGACUGUGAGACCUACAAGUCGAGCAGGGACGAAAGUCGGUCUUAGUGAUCUGACGGUACUGAGUGGAAAGGCCGUCACUCAACGGAAAAGUUACUCUAGGAUAACAGGCUGAUCUCCCCCAAGAGUUCACAUCGACGGGGAGGUUUGGCACCUUGAUGUCGGCUCAUCGCAUCCUGGGGCGGUAGUACGUCCCAAGGGUUGGGCUGUUCGCCCAUGAAAGCGGUACGCGAGCUGGGUUCAGAACGUCGUGAGACAGUUCGGUCCAUAUCCGGUGUAGGCGUUAGAAUAUUGAGAGGAGCCUUCUUUAGUACGAGAGGACCGAGAAGGACAUACCUCUGGUGUACCAGUUAUCGUGCCAACGGUAAACGCUGGGUAGCUAUGUAUGGAGUGGAUAACCGCUGAAAGCAUCUAAGUGGGAAGCCCACCUCAAGAUAAGUAUUCUC